rnacentral:rRNA from 1 species
AGCAGCCGCGGUAAUUCCAGCUCCAAUAGCGUAUAUUAAAGUUGUUGCAGUUAAAAAGCUCGUAGUUGAACUUCGGGGUCUACCCAUUGGUCAGGCUUAAUUGUCUGUACUGGUGAGAUGGAUCUCUACCUUCUGAGGAACUUUCAUGCCAUUUAUUUGGUGUGGUUGGAAAUCAGGACUGUUACUUUGAAAAAAUUAGAGUGUUUAAAGCAGACUAUCGUCUGAAUACAUUAGCAUGGAAUAAUGAAAUAGGACGGACUGAUUCUAUUUCGUUGGUUUCUAGGAUCACCGUAAUGAUUAAUAGGGAUAGUUGGGGGCAGUUAGUAGUUCAAUUUGUCUAGAGGUGAAAUUCUGGAUUUAUUGAAGUACUAACUACUGCGAAAGCAUUUGACCAAGGAUGUUUUACAUUAAUCAAGAACGAAAGUUAGGGGAUCGAAGACGAUCAGAUACCGUCGUAGUCUUAACCAUAAACUAUGCCGACUAGGGAUCGGACGAAGUUAAUUUUAUAAAUGACGCGUUC